rnacentral:rRNA from 1 species
UGGGGAAUAUUGCACAAUGGGCGCAAGCCUGAUGCAGCCAUGCCGCGUGUAUGAAAAAGGCCUUCGGGUUGUAAAGUACUUUCAGUCGGGAGGAAGGUGGUAAGGUUAAUAACCUUAUCAAUUGACGUUACCGACAGAAGAAGCACCGGCUAACUCCGUGCCAGCAGCCGCGGUAAUACGGAGGGUGCAAGCGUUAAUCGGAAUUACUGGGCGUAAAGCGCACGCAGGCGGUUGAUUGAGUCAGAUGUGAAAUCCCCGGGCUUAACCCGGGAAUUGCAUCUGAUACUGGUCAGCUAGAGUCUUGUAGAGGGGGGUAGAAUUCCAUGUGUAGCGGUGAAAUGCGUAGAGAUGUGGAGGAAUACCGGUGGCGAAGGCGGCCCCCUGGACAAAGACUGACGCUCAGGUGCGAAAGCGUGGGGAGCAAACAGG